GAUGAACGCUGGCGGCGUGCUUAACACAUGCAAGUCGAACGGUGAACACGGAGCUUGCUCUGUGGGAUCAGUGGCGAACGGGUGAGUAACACGUGAGCAACCUGCCCCUGACUCUGGGAUAAGCGCUGGAAACGGCGUCUAAUACUGGAUAUGUGACGUGACCGCAUGGUCUGCGUUUGGAAAGAUUUUUCGGUUGGGGAUGGGCUCGCGGCCUAUCAGCUUGUUGGUGAGGUAAUGGCUCACCAAGGCGUCGACGGGUAGCCGGCCUGAGAGGGUGACCGGCCACACUGGGAUUGCGACACGGCCCAGACUCCUACGGGAGGCAGCAGUGGGGAAUAUUGCACAAUGGGCGAAAGCCUGAUGCAGCAACGCCGCGUGAGGGAUGACGGCCUUCGGGUUGUAAACCUUUUUUAGCAGGGAAGAAGCGAAAGUGACGGUACCUGCAGAAAAAGCGCCGGCUAACUACGUG
rnacentral:rRNA from 1 species